ACGUCUGAGAAGACUCCAGCCAGGAGUCCUUCAAAAAGUCCAGCCGAGAGCCCUUCAAAACGUCACCUCAAAGAAGUCCUUCCAAAUCAAUGUGAUCGCUAUUUACAAUAUAAAUACAUUCAUGUAGCUAUAUUACUCAUCUAUAGUUGAUCAAGUACAAAAAUCUGGGGUAUUUUUGGUGAAAACAGGGUAUCGGGCCUUGGUUCAGGAACCAACCCCCCAUUUAUAACAUUGUUUCUUAUGAGAAGAUUGGUUCCGAGUUGCAACAUUUCGAUGUUAAGACACGGUUUACAGGAACCAAUUGUGUUGCAAGUCCGAGGACUGCCUGUACGGUGUACAGAAAGCAAGCCACGGAGACGUGGUGUGGGGAGACAUGGUGUGGGGUGGCCCAAAAAGGAGGCCACCCCACAUGGUGAAGAGAAAACUAGAGGACAUACAGGCGUCGAGUUUCGUGUCAAUAGCAGAAAACAGAAAUGUCCUCUACGACGGCCAUGAAUGCCACGUGCCCCCGGAGGCUGGGGGGGCAAGAAAAUGAGCACGUAUUAUUGUCACCCUAUGGGGGCACGUGGAUCGAGUGCUUCUUAUCAGAUGGACAGUCAUACUGAAAGAAGAGCGGGGUGAUACAAAUGCCAUGAGCUGGAAUUCUUUAUUUCCCAAAGUACAACUCUGCUACAAAUGUUAACAACAAACCCAGCUAUGCUUGCUUUCUGUACAGUGUAUUUUAUUAGCAGUGGAAAGUGCUAAUCUCAUAAUCAACACUGGAGAGAAAUGCAAAUUAAUGAUGAAUUGCAAUUCAGAGUAGAAUUUAAAAAAAUGUGCAUUUAUUGUCCUUCAGUGUCCAAGUUUCCCUCCUGAUCGAAUGCAGCUCAGUUCAUUCAUUUUUUCAUCUUCCUCUAUAACUAGGGGUCUACUUGCAGUGAGACAAAGCAAUUUUUGUGGCUUGAUCAUAGCAUGAAGAGCUGAUUUCACAGACAUCUUCCAGUGGCUCCACCCCUCACCAGUGAUUGGCAGAGAGGUAGAUACUGUAUAAUUUAAUAGCCGAUUCUGUGGAAGGUAAAUUAUAUCAUAGAAUUUAUCAUAUUUUUAUAAAUCUAAAUAUUACAUUUAAAUACACAUUUAAAUAUAUUGUAAAUAUAAA